rnacentral:rRNA from 1 species
GUGUCAGCAGCCGCGGUAAUACGGGGGGGGCAAGCGUUGUUCGGAAUUACUGGGCGUAAAGGGCUCGUAGGCGGCCAACUAAGUCAGACGUGAAAUCCCUCGGCUUAACCGGGGAACUGCGUCUGAUACUGGAUGGCUAGAGGUUGGGAGAGGGAUGCGGAAUUCCAGGUGUAGCGGUGAAAUGCGUAGAUAUCUGGAGGAACACCGGUGGCGAAGGCGGCAUCCUGGACCAAUUCUGACGCUGAGGAGCGAAAGCCAGGGGAGCAAACGGGAUUAGAUACCCUUGUAGUCC